AGCAGCCGCGGUAAUUCCAGCUCCAAUAGCGUAUAUUAAAGUUGUUGCAGUUAAAAAGCUCGUAGUUGAAUUUCGGGAUUAGUGCGCCGGUCGUGCCUUCGGUAUGUACUGGUGUUACUGGUUCCUACCUUCUGACGAACCGUCAUGUCAUUAAUUUGGUGUGGCGGGGAAUCAGGACUGUUACUUUGAAAAAAUUAGAGUGUUUAAAGCAGGCUCGCGCUUGAAUACAUUAGCAUGGAAUAAUGAAAUAGGACGUUCGAUCCUAUUUUGUUGGUUUCUAGGAUUGACGUAA
rnacentral:rRNA from 1 species